rnacentral:rRNA from 1 species
GUUAGGAAUAUUGGACAAUGGGCGAAAGCCUGAUCCAGCCAUGCCGCGUGAACGAUGAAGGCCUUCGGGUUGUAAAGUUCUUUAGCCGAUGAUUAUAAUGACUGUAGUCGGAAAAUAAGCCCCGGCUAACUUCGUGCCAGCAGCCGCGGUAAUACGAAGGGGGCGAGCGUUAUUCGGAAUCACUGGGCGUAAAGCGUGCGUAGGCGGUUUUGUAAGUUAGGAGUGAAAGCCCAGGGCUCAACCUUGGAAUUGCUCUUAAAACUGCAAGGCUCGAAUCUCGGAGAGGAUAGCGGAAUUUCCAGUGUAGCAGUGAAAUGCGUAGAUAUUGGAAGGAACACCAGUGGCGUAAGCGGCUAUCUGGACGAGUAUUGACGCUGAGGCACGAAAGCGUGGGGAGCAAACAGGAUUAGAAACCCCGGUAGUCC